rnacentral:lncRNA from 1 species
CUAGAUACAGGUCACAAGGCUGAUAGAACUAAUUUCAAAUCUAAUAGUACUCUAUCAUCGAGAUAGAACUAUUGAAUCACACCCAAUGUCGACUCUACACAGUGUUUCAUAUACCUAAUUUCAAAUACCAUUCAAACCAUUAUACACCUCAUACCAACACUUAAGAAAUUCUUGGUCAUGUUUAUAUACUAGGAGCACAUAACCUCUAUUUACUAUCAAGUGUCUAUGUAACACAGCACAUCAGCGUGUGUAGUCUCAUUUAAAAUAGUAGUUUCACU